rnacentral:pre_miRNA from 1 species
UUCGAUUCGGUUAACCAAAGUUAUUAAAGGUUCAGUUCGGUUAGUGAAUUGCUGUCAAAAUAAUGGUUCAGUUCGAGA